rnacentral:rRNA from 1 species
UACGUAGGGCGCAAGCGUUGUCCGGAAUUAUUGGGCGUAAAGAGCUCGUAGGCGGCUUGUCACGUCGGGUGUGAAAGCCCGGGGCUUAACCCCGGGUCUGCAUUCGAUACGGGCUGGCUAGAGUGUGGUAGGGGAGAUCGGAAUUCCUGGUGUAGCGGUGAAAUGCGCAGAUACCAGGAGGAACACCGGUGGCGAAGGCGGAUCUCUGGGCCAUUACUGACGCUGAGGAGCGAAAGCGUGGGGAGCGAACAGG